GAUGAACGCUGGCGGCGUGCUUAACACAUGCAAGUCGAGCGAAGCAGUUAAGUUGAUUUCUUCGGAUUGAUUCUUAACUGACUGAGCGGCGGACGGGUGAGUAACGCGUGGGUGACCUGCCCCAUACCGGGGGAUAACAGCUGGAAACGGCUGCUAAUACCGCAUAAGCGCACAGAGCUGCAUGGCUCGGUGUGAAAAACUCCGGCGGUAUGGGAUGGGCCCGCGUCUGAUUAGGCAGUUGGCGGGGUAACGGCCCACCAAACCGACGAUCAGUAGCCGGCCUGAGAGGGCGACCGGCCACAUUGGGACUGAGACACGGCCCAAACUCCUACGGGAGGCAGCAGUGGGGAAUAUUGCACAAUGGGGGAAACCCUGAUGCAGCGACGCCGCGUGAGCGAAGAAGUAUUUCGGUAUGUAAAGCUCUAUCAGCAGGGAAGA
rnacentral:rRNA from 1 species